CAUGGGAAGAUGUGGCUACACUGUGUGAACAUUCCCCACGGCAACAAGUGGCUAGAGCUGGGAGCAGCCAGCUCCUGCAGAUGGACACGGACCCACUAGCUCAUCACAGUCCUCACUCACUACUGUCUUGUAACCAACCGCCCACUUCACUCCUUAAUUUUACCUGCCCUGGCACUUGAGUCUGUGACCCCUGCUUACAGAAUGUAAUUGUGGCUUCCAAGUUCCUGGAGUAUGGGAAACAGCACUAAAAGUCUAAAAAGUUCACAGGCUCUGUCUAUUGGAACAUUACUGAAAGUAAGACGGGUCCAUAUCCCUUAUCCAGCAUUUUGAAAUCUAAAGGACAAGUUCUUUUUAUACCUCACUAGGCAGCGAAACUGGAGCUGAAGUGACAUGAAGCUGUUUAUCAUCUCUAUGUAUUCCAUUCAGUGUGAGAUACAUUCAUAUAUUUUGCUACAGAAAUGCUAACACGUUUGGCUAAGGGCUGCUGCCCCAGACCCAGCUGGAGACAUUAUAUAAAAACGACAUGUACACAUUAUUACUUUUCCAAAAUCUGAAAAAUUCUGAAUUCUGAAACUCAUCUGACCCCAACGACUUUAGAUAAGGGACCGUGGGCCUGUUGUGCUUUUAAUAUCUAUGCUGGAGAAAAUGCACACACACAAACACGCAAGGCAGACAGAGUGCAAUAAUAGUUUUAAAUGAAUUUUCAGUGGAUUAAUUACUGUGGCAUCUACCAAUAUGUGAGAAACAUAAAUAGAAUGAUGUAUUCAAAUCAUCUGUAGUCUGACAGGAAUGUGAGGUGCACAUACUGAUCCUAGGACCCUGUGCCCGAAUGUCCAGUCCCUGAAGGGUCUCACAUGCCCACAGUGGGAACGGCAGCCACAAAGGGAAUUCCAGGUUAGAGACACAUGCUGCCUUCACAUAUAAGAAUGAUGCUGUAUGACCACAUCCUUUUAGGAUUCAUUUAUUUCUCAGUAAAAGUGGGUUUUCCCUUGCCUAUACAUACCCUGUUUGAUAUUCUAGGACUUCACAAUAUGUCAAGUACAUAAAAGGCGUGGGAAGAUCGGAUCAGAAGGAGCUGCAAAGAUCCCAGAUUUCUUUCCACUCCAGAACACGCUGCUAACCCAUAUUAAGCGUCAGCUGAAUGAAAUCCAGCUGCAAGUGCUCAAAUGGUCCAGGGGGAGGAGAUGUGAGGCCUCUAGGGAUAGAGUUUUGCUUAAUGCACUAUGGUGGGGAAAGGAAUGCAAAAACCCAAAAGUGGGGUUUGCCAGGGAGCCAGAACCAAGCAGCUGUUUGGGGUUUCCCAUAGCCCUGACUGUUUGUUUAUGUACAGCCACUAUUUACACACCUUAAUUCCUCUGAUUCAGGACCAGACAGUUGCCGUGUUACAAGAACACGUCAGGAUAAUGAAAGUCUGGCAAUGAGGGGCUAUUCUUUGCAGAGACAGAGGGGACUUCAUCCACACAUGCCAGUCUCUACAGAUUCUGAUGUUGCUGCCUUUGCACGAGAGUCAGCUAGGGCAUGUUCCUGAUGCUCAGAUUCAGUCCUCGCAGGGUGGCCUCAAUUUUGAUGACAGAGACCCAGUUAAGUCUGAUGAGUUUCCUUUCUAUGAACCAUUGUCAGAGUAACUCUAACUGAGAAAGGACUUAAAAAGGGUUCAUUAUACAGCAGUUGAGAAAGGAAUUUGGUCAUUUCUGUGACAUACAACAUUUUAAGGUAAUAAUUAGAGUUAUGACUGAUAACAUUCUAUCAGGACAUAUCAGAUUUGUAGGAAUUUCACAUAAUUUCUAGAAUAUUUAUAUACCUAUGAAAAUACAACAUAAAGAAGUCUAAAUGUUAUUUCUUAUUUGAAAAUGCCUCCCAUGUAAUUUAACUUAUUGAAUAAGCCUAAUUAGUAUCAUAUCCCUCUUUUUAUAAGGAGAGAGAACGAGUCCUUAAGAUGUUGCAGGGAUCCUCUGAAAAAUCCCAAAGUUAACUAGAGGUCGAAAAAGACUUCAUUUAGAAUUUGAUUUUCAGAAGUUCAUCAAAAAAUCUCAAAUCAGUUUUAAAACCCUUGGUCAAAUAGGAUCAUAGGUCACUGUGAGCUAAUACUCAGUUAUGCCUUCGACCAUGGUGACAAAGACUUUCAGACAAAUAGAGAAAGUUAAAUGGCCGUAAGAAAACCCUUAGCUCUCGCAAUCAAAGACCUGAUAAAAGCAACACGGGAAAUGAUUUUGAAAACAUAAAAUCCCUUUUUUGCCUUUUAGGCAGACUAUCAAAUGUAAAGAGAAGCCUUUCAUAAUCUCUUCAUCAAGAGCAGACUAGAAGCCCAAGAAAACCUCAUCC
ensembl:lncRNA